rnacentral:rRNA from 1 species
UGAACGCUGGCGGCAUGCCUUACACAUGCAAGUCGAACGGCAGCGCGGACUUCGGUCUGGCGGCGAGUGGCGAACGGGUGAGUAAUACAUCGGAACGUACCCUGUUGUGGGGGAUAACUAGUCGAAAGAUUAGCUAAUACCGCAUACGACCUGAGGGUGAAAGUGGGGGACCACAAGGCCUCACGCAGCAGGAGCGGCCGAUGUCUGAUUAGCUAGUUGGUGGGGUAAAGGCCCACCAAGGCGACGAUCAGUAGCUGGUCUGAGAGGACGAUCAGCCACACUGGGACUGAGACACGGCCCAGACUCCUACGGGAGGCAGCAGUGGGGAAUUUUGGACAAUGGGGGCAACCCUGAUCCAGCAAUGCCGCGUGUGUGAAGAAGGCCUCGGUUGUAAAGCACUUUGUCCGGAAGAAGCCGCGCUGGUUAAUACCUGGCGUGGAUGACGGUACCGGAAGAAUAAGCACCGGCUAACUACGUGCCAGCAG